UACGUAGGUGGCAAGCGUUAUCCGGAAUUAUUGGGCGUAAAGCGCGCGCAGGCGGUUUCUUAAGUCUGAUGGGAAAGCCCACGGCUCAACCGUGGAGGGUCAUUGGAAACUGGGGAACUUGAGUGCAGAAGAGAAAAGCGGAAUUCCACGUGUAGCGGUGAAAUGCGUAGAGAUGUGGAGGAACACCAGUGGCGAAGGCGGCUUUUUGGUCUGUAACUGACGCUGAGGCGCGAAAGCGUGGGGAGCAAACAGG
rnacentral:rRNA from 1 species